UACGUAGGGUGCAGGCGUUAAUCGGAAUUACUGGGCGUAAAGCGUGCGCAGGCGGUUUCUUAAGUCAGAUGUGAAAGCCCCGGGCUUAACCUGGGAACUGCGUUUGAAACUGGGAGACUUGAGUGUGGCAGAGGGGGGUGGAAUUCCACGUGUAGCAGUGAAAUGCGUAGAUAUUGGGAGGAACACCAGUGGCGAAGGCGGCUCACUGGACCGAUACUGACGCUGAGGAGCGAAAGCGUGGGGAGCGAACAGG
rnacentral:rRNA from 1 species